rnacentral:rRNA from 1 species
CAGCAGCCACGGUAAUACGUAGGUGGCAAGCGUUGUCCGGAAUUAUUGGGCGUAAAGCGCGCGCAGGUGGUUUAAUAAGUCUGAUGUGAAAGCCCACGGCUCAACCGUGGAGGGUCAUUGGAAACUGGGAAACUUGAGUGCAGAAGAGGAGAGUGGAACUCCACGUGUAGCGGUGAAAUGCGUAGAGAUGUGGAGGAACACCAGUGGCGAAGGCGACUCUCUGGUCUGUAACUGACGCUGAGGAGCGAAAGCGUGGGGAGCGAACAGGAUUAGAUACCCGCGUAGUCCCUGUCUCUUAUAC